rnacentral:rRNA from 1 species
AGUGAACGCUGGCGGUAGGCCUAACACAUGCAAGUCGAACGGCAGCACAGUAAGAGCUUGCUCUUACGGGUGGCGAGUGGCGGACGGGUGAGGAAUACAUCGGAAUCUUCUUUUUCGUGGGGGAUAACGUAGGGAAACUUCCGCUAAUACCGCAUACGACCUACGGGUUAAAUCAGUGGAUCUUCGGACCUUUCGCGAUUGAAUGAGCCGAUUUCGGAUUAGCUAGUUGGCGGGGUAAAGGCCCACCAAGGCGACGAUCCGUAGCUGGUCUGAGAGGAUGAUCAGCCACACUGGAACUGAGACACGGUCCAGACUCCUACGGGAGGCAGCAGUGGGGAAUAUUGGACAAUGGGCGCAAGCCUGAUCCAGCCAUACCGCGUGGGUGAAGAAGGCCUUCGGGUUGUAAAGCCCUUUUGUUGGGAAAGAAAAGCAGCAGGUUAAUACCCCGCUGUUCUGACGGUACCCAAAGAAUAAGCACCGGCUAACUUCGUG